rnacentral:rRNA from 1 species
AGAUUGAACGCUGGCGGCAGGCCUAACACAUGCAAGUCGAGCGGUGAGAGGUGCUUGCAUCUCUUGAGAGCGGCGGACGGGUGAGUAAUGCCUAGGAAUCUGCCUAGUGGUGGGGGAUAACGUUCGGAAACGGACGCUAAUACCGCAUACGUCCUACGGGAGAAAGCGGGGGACCUUCGGGCCUCGCGCCAUUAGA